rnacentral:rRNA from 1 species
UACGUAGGUGGCAAGCGUUGUCCGGAUUUACUGGGCGUAAAGGGAGCGUAGGUGGAUAUUUAAGUGGGAUGUGAAAUACUCGGGCUUAACCUGGGUGCUGCAUUCCAAACUGGAUAUCUAGAGUGCAGGAGAGGAAAGUAGAAUUCCUAGUGUAGCGGUGAAAUGCGUAGAGAUUAGGAAGAAUACCAGUGGCGAAGGCGACUUUCUGGACUGUAACUGACACUGAGGCUCGAAAGCGUGGGGAGCAAACAGGG